GGAGCGGUGUCCGAGCGGUUGAAGGAGGCGGUCUUGAAAACCGUUGUGCUGUAAGGUACCGGGGGUUCGAAUCCCCCCUGCUCCG
rnacentral:tRNA from 1 species